rnacentral:rRNA from 1 species
AUUGAACGCUGGCGGCAUGCCUUACACAUGCAAGUCGAACGGCAGCGGGGGAGAAGCUUGCUUUUCCUGCCGGCGAGUGGCGAACGGGUGAGUAAUACAUCGGAACGUGCCCUGUAGUGGGGGAUAACUAGUCGAAAGAUUAGCUAAUACCGCAUACGACCUGAGGGUGAAAGUGGGGGACCGCAAGGCCUCAUGCUAUAGGAGCGGCCGAUGGCUGAUUAGCUAGUUGGUGGGGUAAAGGCCUACCAAGGCGACGAUCAGUAGCUGGUCUGAGAGGACGAUCAGCAAAACUGGGACUGAGACACGGCCCAGACUCCUACGGGAGGCAGCAGUGGGGAAUUUUGGACAAUGGGCGAAAGCCUGAUCCAGCAAUGCCGCGUGUGUGAAGAAGGCCUUCGGGUUGUAAAGCACUUUUGUCCGGAAAGAAAUGGCUCUGGUUAAAACCUGGGGUCGAUGACGGUACCGGAAGAAUAAGGACCGGCUAACUACGUGCCAGCCGCCGCCGUAA